GCUGGACUUCCAGGCCCGGCUCGGCCCAUAAUGCUAUGAGAGGUUGUCACUGCGUUGACACGUAAGCUUUCCCCCUCCCCUUCCGCUGACGCGACGCCCACCUCGGCGGCUCGGCCCGCGCUGGUUUCCGUCCGUUCAUUGCGGUGCGGAGAGCCGGAGACAGACCACCGGGCCGUGCGGGCGCUCGCGGCUCCGCUCCCAGAUCCCGCCGCGCGGGCAAGCUUCGAGGAGUGACCAUGCAGGAGCCCACGGAGACCAGGCCAGCUGGUGCGGAGGAUCUCGCGAACGGCGCGCGAGACGGGGAGGGACCUCCGCCGCAGGUUGAGGAGGAGGAAGUGGAGGAGGAGCCGCCGCGAUCGGCGACGGCAAAGCAGGAGGAGGCGACGGCGGCGCUGGGGUCGGAGGGGUCCCGCCCGUUCACUAUGCGGGAGCUCCUCGGCGAGCUCAAAGAGGAUGGCGAGACGGCUGCUGGCGGCAGCAGCGCGAGAUCUGCGUUCGGCGAUGGGAACAGGGUCGGAUCCGAUGAUGCCGAGGGCUCGUUCUACAGCCAAGAUAGCACACAACAGUUUUCAUCCCACCAUGAUGUGGCGAUGGACUUGAUAAAUAGUGUAACUGGAGUUGAUGAGGAAGGGCAUUCUCGCCAAAGGAUUCUUUCUUUUGCUGCCAAAAGGUAUGUAAAUGCAAUUGAAAGAAAUCCUAAUGACCCUGAUGCAUAUUAUAAUUGGGCUCUAGUCCUCCAGGAGAGUGCAGACAAUGUGGAUCCCAAUUCUAGCUCCUCUAAAGAUGCAUUGCUUGAGGAGGCUUGCAAAAAGUAUGCUGAAGCUACCCGGCUUUGUCCAACUCUUUAUGAUGCAUAUUAUAACUGGGCUAUUGCGAUUGCUGAUCGGGCUAAAAUGCGAGGUCGGACAAAAGAAGCCGAAGAACUCUGGAAACAGGCAAUACUGAAUUAUGAGAAGGCAGUCCAGCUUAAUUGGAAUAGCCCACAGGCUCUCAAUAACUGGGGUCUUGGGCUACAGGAGCUGAGUGCAAUUGUUCCUGCACGGGAUAAACAGACCAUCAUAAAAACCGCUAUCAGUAAGUUCCGUGCUGCAAUUCAGCUGCAAUUUGAUUUCCAUCGGGCAAUAUACAACCUUGGAACUGUUUUGUAUGGUUUAGCUGAGGAUACCGUGAGAUCUGGGAAGCCAGAUGUCUCUCCUAAUGAGCUUUAUAGUCAGUCUGCUAUCUAUGUUGCUGCUGCUCAUGCUCUAAAGCCAAAUUACUCGGUCUAUCGGAGUGCUUUGCGAUUAGUCCGCUCAAUGUUACCUCUGCCAUAUCUCAAAGUUGGGUAUUUGACGGCUCCUCCAGCUAACAAUUCCAUUGCACCACACAAAGAUUGGGAGAGAUCACAGUUCAUUUUGAAUCAUGAGGGACUCCAGCAGGUUGAUGCUUCUGACCAGCCUCCAUCACAAUCCCCAGGGCAUUUGGACAGGGGCAGAAAGCCUGUCAGAAUAAACAUUGCAGAUAUUGUUUCAGUGUCAGCAUGUGCUGAUUUAACCUUACCAAGUGGCGCUGGCCUCUGUAUAGAAACUAUUUCUGGUCCUACAUUCUUGACAUGGGUUACACUUUUAAAUCCGCUUGGUCUUCAAUAGAUUGACUGAACAAAAUGAACAGCCAACCUUUUUGAACUUAAUGGGCGGCAAACAUGGUUGCCGAUAGUUGGGAGGCUCUCGAAAGUUGGCUAGACGCCAUACGCCUUGUCUACACUAUUUUUGCAAGAGGGAAGAGCGACGUACUUGCCGGUAUUAUUACUGGUUAAAUGUCUUGCUGCAAAUGCAAAACUGCCACCGAAGAGCCGCAAAGUUUUGGAGAUUCAGCGGCAGCCUUAUCGGUUGAAUGCCCUCUUUGGUUUGUGUUAUUAUUUUUCCCGUCUGUGAUGUCAGUCUUCCUAGAUUUAGCCAUUUAGGGUAUAUCAUAUAUAUUCAUUUGUAACUACUUUCCACUGAUUGGCGAUAGGUCCGUUUUCCUUUUGUAAAAGUGGCCGUGUGACUGUAUUGUGCAUUCACAGAAGAUGUAUCGGACAUUCUUAAGUUUUUGAUUUUGUUUCUCUGUAACAAUGUAUCAAGGCACGAUGGUCUAUGCUUAAAUUUACUGCUUGGGACGGCGCUGCUGUGCUGGGCUGCAGGGCCUUCAACAUGUAUCAAGCCAAGGAUCCGGAGAGGUUACAAGA